GCCCAGACAUGGUGAAUGGGUGGUGGUAGCGUGGGCACUACUGCAACAAAUGGAGUUUCUACUGAGAUCUGAGAAAGAAGGGAUGUCACUGAUGGACACCCGAAAGGACAGUGAGGUGCCUUUUUGGGUUCCUGAGUGCUGUGUGUGCCCUGUGGCUGCUGCUGAAUCCCAACAUGGCAGAGACCUAUUGAACCUUCGUGAAAAACUCUCCCCUUCUGAUGCCAAUGGGGAUUGAGAGCCUAAUACGGCCAGCCUUGGCAAGCAUUAAUGUAAGGCUAGGAACUGUAGCCAUGUGUUCGGAUUCUUCAGAAGUUGUUCUUUUGCAGAGCUGCCAGCUUAAGUCAUGCUGGGAUCAAGAAAAAUGGGCCUUGGUGGUUCGUGUUCCUGGAGCUGCAUCCAUGCCAGUGGACCAUGGCAGUUAGACACAGAUGAUGCUCACACACUCCAGAAGAGAAUCUGACAUCGCUGUUGCCCUUGUUGCUGUUAUAGCGGUGGUGGCCACUGCUGCUACUGUUUCUGGGAUUGCUAUUUCAUAAUUGGUUACUACAGCUAGCACAAUGGAGACCCUGGCAGCAAAAGUAGCUACCACAGUUAAUUAAUCUUUCAUUCUAUUGGGCAUGAUAAAUUUAAUUCAAGAGUUAUAUACAUUUCAAUUGGCUUUGAAAGUUGUAAAAUUAAUAAAACUCAAGUUCCACUUGCCUAUGGGAUACCACCUUACAAGGACUCCAAUUUGCAGUAAGGCUCGUUAAGGAAGGGAAUGAUUCAAUUGCCUUUAACCUACCGGCUAUGGGUACGUUAGGACUUCUGUUGGUCUUUCUGUGUUGCACAGAUUGCAAGCCUAGUGCCAUUUUGAGAUCUUUGGCAGCAGUUAACUCUACAGCUCACGUGGUUCAGUCUGUAUGAUAAUGAGUAUGCAGAGAUGGGUAAUGCCUUGGGGGUGGUUACCAACCUAAGGCAGAGCACCUGUGUGGCCUGGGCAGGUGUCUCCAUGAUGGGUCAGGUGACCUGCUGACGUCCCAUGCAACCUAAGUCAGAAGCUCAUUUUUUAGUAAAAAGGGGGGACCUGUAGGGCCCUGGCCCCCCAAUGUGAGUAGCUGCCACCUUGCUUGCUGACCUCGACCAGAUGUCCUCCCUAUGCUGAUUCCCUGCUGGUUUCCUUCUUACUGAAUGCUCACCGGAGGUUCUUUGUUCAUGUAUCCUGCAUUUGGUGUAAACAGCUUAGAUGCAAGAAUGUAGAACAUUGGGUAGCAAACUUCUGCCCUCUGGGAAUCCUCCAUUGUGCUAUAAGCCUGUA